UACGUAGGGCGCGAGCGUUGUCCGGAAUUAUUGGGCGUAAAGAGCUCGUAGGCGGCCUGUUGCGUCCGCUGUGAAAUCCCGGGGCUUAACCCCGGGCGUGCAGUGGAUACGGGCGGGCUGGAGGCAGGCAGGGGAGACUGGAAUUCCUGGUGUAGCGGUGAAAUGCGCAGAUAUCAGGAGGAACACCGGUGGCGAAGGCGGGUCUCUGGGCCGAUACUGACGCUGAGGAGCGAAAGCGUGGGGAGCAAACAGG
rnacentral:rRNA from 1 species